rnacentral:rRNA from 1 species
AGUGAACGCUGGCGGUAGGCCUAACACAUGCAAGUCGAACGGCAGCACAGUAAGAGCUUGCUCUUACGGGUGGCGAGUGGCGGACGGGUGAGGAAUACAUCGGAAUCUACUUUUUCGUGGGGGAUAACGUAGGGAAACUUACGCUAAUACCGCAUACGACCUACGGGUGAAAGCAGGGGAUCUUCGGACCUUGCGCGAUUGAAUGAGCCGAUGUCGGAUUAGCUAGUUGGCGGGGUAAAGGCCCACCAAGGCGACGAUCCGUAGCUGGUCUGAGAGGAUGAGCAGCCACACUGGAACUGAGACACGGUCCAGACUCCUACGGGAGGCAGAAGUGGGGAAUAUUGGACAAUGGGCGCAAGCCUGAUCCAGCCAUACCGCGUGGGUGAAGAAGGCCUUCGGGUUGUAAAGCCCUUUUGUUGGGAAAGAAAAGCAGCAGGUUAAUACCCCGCUGUUCUGACGGUACCCAAAGAAUAAGCACCGGCUAACUUCGUG